rnacentral:lncRNA from 1 species
AUUUUUUAAUUAUUCAUACUUUUACUUUUGAUACUUAAGUAUAUUUCAAACCGAAUACUUUUAGACUUUUACUCAAGUAGUAAUUUACUGGGUGACUUUGACUUGAGUCAUUUUCUAUUAAGGUAUCUUUACUUUUACUCAAGUAUGACAAUUGGGUACUUUUUCCACCACUGAUAGAUACACACAGCAGAUGAACAGCUCCUGUGUUUUUAUUUUUAAUAGAAAAACAAAAAGUACUGAAAAUCAAAUGAAAAAGGAACGAUCCAGUAAUGAUGACAGAAGAACGUUCAGGGCUUUGUCUCCCAGACUGCCGUAAGGCUCAUUCUUCCUCUGUCCGUCCUCCUUCUCCAUGUUGUAGUGAUGAGGGGGUGGUAUACACAAAGCUGGACCAGGGACCACAGUACAGUUCACUGGGGUGGUAGUUGGGAUAGAGGGGAGGGUCUCUCCAUAGUCCUGCAGGGCAGUGAGUCCACAUGUCCGUUUGUCUGUCUCCAUGUGCAUCUCUCCAUAGUCCUGCAGGGUAGUGAGUCCACAUGUCUGUCUGUAUGUCUCCUCGUUCGUCUCUCCCUCCAGUAAUCCACUCAGGGGCCCAAUGGGACGACAGCCAAGAGGGGGGCAACAGUCUUUGAGAAUAGCUAUCCAUCGCUCUUUCACACACCAAAAACCUACAUGCUCACACAGACACAUACAGAAUCACAUACAAAGGCAGUGGAACAUACACACACUGAUUCAGACGAACAUGCACUCGCACACACUCUGGGAGGCUCUCUGUAGGGGGUUGAGUCAGGCCUUGUUUGCUAUGUCCCAUCCUCUGCCUCUUCUUCCUCUGAACAGUAGUCCAGUCCCUGUGGGCACACCACAGAUGAGACAGAAGAGAGUGAUGAGGCAGGACAGAUAGCAUCGCCGUAGGAUAAAUGGAGACGUUAGAUAAGACAAGGGUGAGUUGAUAGGACUAAAGUAGUCUUUUAAAGUCCUAAUCUGAAUGUAUCUCAAUUUGAAGUAUUUCCUUCCUGUCAGAGUUGGCUUUUAGCAGCCCCCAAU